AUUGAACGCUGGCGGCAUGCUUUACACAUGCAAGUCGAACGGUAACGCGGGGCAACCUGGCGACGAGUGGCGAACGGGUGAGUAAUGCAUCGGAACGUGCCCGGUAGUGGGGGAUAACUGCUCGAAAGAGCAGCUAAUACCGCAUACGACCUGGGGGUGAAAGGAGGGGAUCGCAAGACCUCGCGCUAUUGGAGCGGGCGGUGUCGGAUUAGCUAGUUGGUGGGGUAAGGGCCAACCAAGGCGACGAUCCGUAGCUGGUCUGAGAGGACGACCAGCCACACUGGGACUGAGACACGGCCCAGACUCCUACGGGAGGCAGCAGUGGGGAAUUUUGGACAAUGGACGCAAGUCUGAUCCAGCCAUGCCGCGUGCGGGAAGAAGGCCUUCGGGUUGUAAACCGCUUUUGUCAGAGAAGAAAUCUUCAGGGUUAAUACCUCGGGAGGAUGACGGUAUCUGAAGAAUAAGCACCGGCUAACUACGUGCCAGCAGCCGCCGCCG
rnacentral:rRNA from 1 species